rnacentral:rRNA from 1 species
CACACCGCCCGUCACACCAUGGGAGUCUGUUGCACCAGAAGUAGCUAGCCUAACCGCAAGGGGGGCGGUUACCACGGUGUGGCUGAUGACUGGGGUG